rnacentral:misc_RNA from 1 species
GCGUAUGAACUCGGCAUGGAAAGCCGUGGGCAGGACCACAUUAUGUCUGGAGGCUUAGCUGGAGGGUGGCCCCUCGUCGAUACACUUCGAUCCGCACUAUGCUCCUGCGUUAUCCCAUCGGCAAUAUCGUUCUCAACAGAGACGUCUUCAACAACAAAAACGUCGACAAUGACGACCGCAGCCAAGUUGUAUGGUAAAGAUCUGUCCGAAUAUGACGAAAUGGACGUUGACCAACUCUUAUCACAACUCACGCAAGAAGAAAUCAGUAUGCUUGUAAAAGAAGUCGACCCGGAUGAUACUCUUUUACCGCCAUCACAAAGAUGUUCUUACGAAUGUCAAAAGAGUCCUACCGGGCCUCUCGAUAGGAAAAAGUUGAUUGAGCACAUUAACAAGCAAGCCUUGGAAACUCCAGAUAAACCUGAAUUGAAACCAUUCGUUGCUGGAACAAUUAGAGGCAAAAAGUGGAUUCCACCACCUGUGUCAGUCAAAUUGAAAGAGGCUGAAGAACAGAUCGCCAUUGACUUGGGAGAUGAGUAUGAACAAGCUUUAAGCGAUGCGACUCAAGAAGAAAUUAUUGACUUGGCCGCUAUUCUCGGUUUCCAUUCGAUGAUGAACCAAGAUCAGUACCAUGCUUCUCUCUUGAACAAAGGACAGCCGCUUGGACUCGGUUGGGACGGCAUCACCAAAGCGACACAACAGAAAGUUUACCCAGUCGAACCUCCGAACGAUACCGAUGUGGACAAGACUAUACAAAUGGUUAAAGACGACGACCAUGAGCUUCUCACUCUGAAUUGGAAUAAUAUUAGGAAUAUCUCUGAUGAGAAAUUCAACAACCUUUUCAUGGCUCUCAGAGAAAAUACCCACUUGGAAACACUUAGCCUCACCAAUGUCGGCCUUCUUGACAGACACGCGUUAAAGCUUGCAGAAGCCAUCGAAAAGAACUGCACACUCAAAGUUUUGAAUGUGGAGACAAAUUUCCUCAGCCCACAAGUUAUCCUCCGACUCAUAAAGGCAUUACUAGUUCAAAAAAGUUUAGAAGAAUUCCGAGGGGCCAAUCAGAGAUGUUACGUGCUUGGCAAUAAAAUUGAAAUGGAGAUAACAAAUCUUGUAGAACAAAACCCUACACUUCUCAGAUUAGGUCUUCAUCUCGAAUAUAAUGAUGCCAGGCAGAGGGUUGCAAAUCACCUCCAACGAAACAUUGAUAGGAUACGGAAGGACCUUUCACUGAGACUCCAGUUCAGGUUCUUUAACAAUCCGCUCCGACAGAAAAAACUGAUCAAGUAGGGGGUGCAUCAAAUUUAAUUUGUCUAAGUACGCCAAUCACGGGUGGGCGCACCAACUUCAUAGGCCCUUCCUAAAUCUAGGUCGUUUAAGGCGCAUUGGUCACUUUUCCCGCUCAUUUGCUGCUGGUUGGUUUCCGCAUAUAGGAGGCAAGACCUUCGCAAUAAAUAACAAGAGAUGAAAAUAAAUUACAAGCUACAUAGUAAAUUAUAUUAGAGUGUGCAGUUUUCAAUGCUAAUUACUAUUUUUGUUCGACUGGUGUCUUUUUUUCUUUGAUUCAUCCGUUAUAACGUCAUUUAAGAGGACAGCGAAUUCAUCGUCAUGACAAAUACUCCGAUACUGAAUUGUUUUGUGUUUGCGCCAAAUGGUUAAUGACUUUGGUAAUAAUUGCAAGACUAUUAUUAGAUAUGAAUUUAUUUUAUUUCUGUUGUGUGUUGACUCACAUAUAAUUGCACAGCUUUGUAAGUGGAACAGUGGCUUUUGUGAUUUCAAAGAUCAGUGUUUUUUUUCCUUUUCUGAAUGUACGCCAAUUUUAUGCAGCAAUUGUAAGCUUUCAUAUAAAAAAUUUAUUAAAUUUCAUACACAACAUGGAUAAUUGUAGGUUUAAAUAGCCAAUAAUAUAUUAUUUAUGUAAAAAUAAAAUCACUAUUUCCUUGUUUUAUAUAUAAACCCUUCAUUAAAUUUAGUGUACUGUUAUUACUGAGCUCAACUAUGCUUGAAAUUUAUAGCCUGUUCGGUGCUGCUGUGAAGCGUUUGCUAUUUAGAUUUAAUCGAAUUUCUCUUGUCUUGUACAUACUAUAAAAUUUAAACAAUGUACAAUUAUAUAUGUAUUUUUUUGAUUAUUUAUUAGAACUGCUUAUAAUUUUACAGCCAAAUAUAAAAAUUUAUGUAUUGACAUAAAUAACUUGUUUUCAUUAGAUACAAGUUACAAACUGCAAAAAGGUUCUGUUAAACAGUCCUUAAUUGACUACAUGGUAAUAAAAGAAAGUAAAUUAUUUAAUA